rnacentral:misc_RNA from 1 species
AAAACAUAAAAUCAAUUCACUGUGGGAUUUAUAAGUAGCAACCAUAUGAAAUUGAUUAGUUGCCAUGUCAAAAUGCAACUUAAACUGAAACUAUAGAAUUCCAUUUCAUUUUCCACAGAUAAGAAAUUCAAUGUUAAAUGAUCAUUUUAUUUAGUAUUCAACAUCUAUUUGCAAACUUGAUUAUUCAGCUCUUAAUUUCUAUGCUACAGCAGAAACAUUUACAGCAAACAAAGAAGAAUUCUGUGAUAUAUAAAUAUAUACUCAAAGUUAACUUAUUUUUUCCCCCUUUAAUUCAUGAACUAAGCAAGAAUCUCAAUGAACUUAUGUGAUGCCCAUGUCCUUGCAACAUCAGAAACCUUGCUUUCUUCAACCUGCAUUGUUCUCAAUCGCGGCGAAUUGAGAACAAAUGACUCAAUAGCCUCAGCCUCAAUCCCGCAACAAUGCAAGAUAUCAACAUUUUCCAAUCUCUUGCAACUCUUGAACAUUGAAAGAAUUGCUACACUAGUAAGUCUUUUGCACCCUCUUAAUCUCAAUUCAGUCAGAUUAUUGCAAGAAACUAGCAUUGAAAUGAACUCCUUAUCAUGCAAAGAUUCAUUAUGAGACAAGUCUAAUUUCCUUAGUUGCCUCAAGUGCUGGCCUAGCGUGGCAAGCAAUCCUGAUUCCCUUUCAACCACAUCACAAUUUAUCAGUGCCAAUUCUUUGAGCUCUGAACUCAUGGCAAUUCCAAGAGCCUUUAGCCCUUCACCAGUAACUAAACAACAACUCUGAAGCCUGACAGUUGAGAGACCCCUGAAAUUCACUGCAAUUGCUGAGAGAUGAUCAUUGUUUAGGUCUAAAGGUAAUCGAAGGUCAAGUUUUUGCAGAUUACAACUGCAAUUGUUAAUAAAAUGAAGCAAACCUUCUCUGCUGCCACCAUCAUAAACCAAUAGAGAAUUCAAAGAAUCACAAUUCUCUGCCAAUCUUAAUAGAACCCCAUCAACUAUACUCCUGCAAGUCCUAAGCUCCAGUUCUUGGAGACCCUUCAAGCACCUGAUAAAUGAUAAGAAAGACCCUCCAUCACCAAUACCUUCGCAGCUCUUUAGCUGCAAUUUCUUCAGCUUUUUGCAGCUCCUCCAUAGCCAACCGAAACCAGAAUCAUCUCUUUUAAUCCCUGAUAAAUAAAGACUCUCCAAACCCAACUCUGCAUCAAUUUCUUGAUUUAAACACAAAUCAGAUUCCCUAUUGCUAUAAAAUUCAUCCGCAAUUCCAUUACUAUCUGAUACAUAGAUAGAUAACUCCUUUAAAUUAGAAAAAUAAGUAACCCAGCUGAAGAAGAGAGGCCUAGACAGAACAAUAGUGAGAGAAGUGAGAAGGGCACAUGUAUUAGAGAGAGAAACGAGAGAAGAAAGAGAGACAGGACCAGCCAAGAACCUGAGAUGCUUAAGCUUGGAGCAAAAAGUGGAGACUAUAAUGAGAAGAUGGUUAUUGAAAGCUGUGGUGAUUGAAUUGGUGGUUGUUAAGGUGGGGUCAGAGGAGAAGACGAGAGAAAGAGACGAAAGAAAAGGGUAGUGGGAAAGAAGAGAGGGCAAAGAUUGAAUUGUGGAAUUUUCAGGUGUAAGUCUAAGAGAUAUAGAUGUUUUGGAAGCGCGGUACAGGCGGAGCCACCGCUUGGAGACCAAAGAAACCGAUAAAGCUUGUGAAGAUGGUGGCGAUGGUGACGAUUUUGAGGCUAGUCUUGAAAAAAUUUCUUGGAGCAGCUCAUCACAAAGCAUGUUAUCCAUGUUUCUACCAAGCUGCUUAUGAAAUUUCUUCUUCUUGUUCCUGCCACACCUACCAAAGAGAGAAGCUUUGGUUUGUGGCUUUGAGGUUUUCUUUCUUGUUUGCUUCUGUUCUUGACAACUCCUUCAAGAUUCUGCUAGAGAAAGUUGAGUUAUGAUUAGGUAAGAGAGAGUGGGAAGGAUUUGGCUAAGCGCUGUUUUCAGGGCGUGAAAAACACUUUCCUUCUCAAUAGAGGUAAAGUGAAGGAAAGAAUGUUCCCAUUAAAGUUAGGGUGAAGGAAAGGCUUUCCCUCAAGCUAAGCAGAAAAUUUGUCAAAUAGAGUGCAACAAAUGAUGUUUUGGAAGUGAAUUGGGAGAGAAUUGAAGGUUGGAU